ensembl:lncRNA
CUCCUAAGAUCUACAGUCUCUCCAGCCAGGCACUCAGACUCUCCAAUUUUCCUUUUCACUUGAAAACUCCAUCCUUCUCCAGCUCCUUGAAAAACCCCUUGGAAACCAGCCAAAGGGAAAUCUGGGGUAGAUUGGUUAACGAGAUGCAAAGAGGGCACUGGGGAAGUAUGAACCGAGUCAGCUGGACUGCGGGACCAGUCACUGCCAGGAGCAGUUCUGCUUCCCCCGAGGGGGUGACAGUACUGGAUGGGGGGCAAGUAGAUAAGACCUAUGGUCCUGGCUCUGGGGCAGCUCUGCCAUAAAAGGAAUUCACACAUAAAACUGGAAAAGAGAAGUUUCUGAAAUAUUCAUGAGCAAUAAGGAAGCAGUGAGGACCGAUGGUCCUGUCCUCUUUCUUACUGCUCCUCUUAGGCCCCAGCCUGACUCUCCCAUAAGCCUCUCAUCCUCAUGUAUUUUUGAAACAGAAAGGUUCCUGACACAGAGCCAAUUUAGCAUCCUUGAGCUACUGGCUGGGAAUAGGGAAGCCAAAGGUGCUUUUUAGAGGUGGGAGCCUAGAGAGUAACUGGCUGAGGCCUGGUGCCAUGAAUAUCAGGCAUGAUCGAGGAUCUACUUAUGAGGCUGCCUCAGUAAAGUACAGGGACUGGGAGUCAGAUCACCCAGCUCUGUUCCUAAGCUCCUGUGAGAAUAUGGGUUAGGGAGUCAAGAUAGAGUCUGUACACAUUUGCCAGGUACCAGGCAUUUAUCAAUACUUUGGUAAAGUAUUGAACAUCUCUGAAACUCUGUUUUUCCCAAUGGAAAACAGGUUAACCUCACUAGUCCAUCAAGUCCCCUGUAUUUCUGACCCUCUGGGAUUCUGUGAUCCUACAAACAGAGAAACCAGCCCUAGUCGAAGCACCGUGACUUCAUUUGGCGCUUGGUUCUCAGCACUGGUGUACAUUAGCAACUACUUCCUGAUCUGUUGCAAUGUCUCCUGUGGGUUUUGUCUCUCUGUUAGACCCAUAAGCUCUCCAAGGGCAGAGACUGUCUUCACCUCCAGUAAUCCUUCUCCCAACUCAGUGCUUAGAAGCAAGGGGCCUUAGAGAGAAUUGCAGGUUGUCGGCAGAAACCAAGAGACCUGGAUGGCAGCUGAAUCCCAUUCCCUGGGCUCCGGUGUUUCUAUUUCCAUCCUCACAUGCUCAUUAUCUACAACCACUCACCACCAGGCUGGCCUUCUGGCCAUAAAAGGUUAAACGACUACUAGUAAUGACUUCACCUCUCAGCAAGGAGUAACAGCCAGCAGUCAUGCACGGAUGUGAGACUUGGACCAUGAAGAAGGCUGAGCACCAAAGAACUGAUGCUUUCAAAUUGUGGUCCUGGAGAAGACUUUUGGACUGCAAGUAGAUCAAACCAGUCAAUCCUAAAGGAAAUCAACCCUGAAUAUUCAUUGGAAGGACUGAUGCUGAAGCUGUAGCUCCAAUACUCUGGCCACCUGAUGCAAACAGCCAACUUAUUGAAAAAGACCCUGUUACUGGGAAGGACAGAAGGCAAAAGAAGGAGGUGGAAGAGGAUGGUUAGGUGGUUAGAUGGCGUAACAGACUCAAUGGACAUGAAUUUGAGCCAACUCUGGGAUAUAGUGAAGGACAGGGAAGCCCGGCAUACUGCAGUUCAUGGAGUCACAAAGAGUUGGACACAACUUAGUGUCUGAACAACCACAGAAGUAGGAAGAAAUCUGAAAGAACUAGGUGGUACGAGAUGACGGAAGGUCCCUGUGGCAUUCUAUUACUAAUCCACAAGAUUUUCUGUCCCUCCCUUCCCUCUUGAAGGCAGUCUUGGUUUGGCUGACUGUUCUGACCAGCAAAAUAUAAGAAGUAAAACACAUCACUUUCUAGUGGAGACUUCAAGACCAGCAGGAACUUUGCUAUGCUCCUUGACAUCAAGCCACAGGUGAGCCCUAAGGGAACUCAGGAUGGAGACAAAUGAGCUGCCCCCUGCCAAGUCCUUAGCCACUGCACCCACCUCAAAGGCACACUUAAGGGGACUCAGCAAGGGAAAGAACAGGACACUAGCCCUAGAUAGCUAAGAUGCAUAACAAUGAGCCCAGACUCUUAAAUCUUCUCGUGCAGAGAAAAUUCAUUAACUUGAGAUAUCUGGUUUUCUUUGUUGUUGUUCAGUUGCUCAGUCAUGUCCUAUUCUUUGCAACCCCAUGGACUGCAGCACACCAGGCUUCCCUAUCCUUCACCAUCUCCCAGAACUUGCCCAAACUCAUGUCCAUCGA